AAGAUUAAGCCAUGCAUGUCUAAGUACAAACUUAAUUAAAGUGAAACCGCGAAAGGCUCAUUAAAUCAGUUAUGGUUCCUUAGAUCGUACCACAAUUACUUGGAUAACUGUGGUAAUUCUAGAGCUAAUACAUGCAAACAGAGCUCUGACCGGAGACGGAAGGAGUGCUUUUAUUAGAUCAAAACCAAUCGGCGGCGGUAUCAUUUCGGUGUUAUCGUUCGUCGCUCAAUAAAUGGUGAAUCUGAAUAACUUUAUGCUGAUCGCAUGGUCUUGUACCGGCGACGCAUCUUUCAAAUGUCUGCCUUAUCAACUGUCGAUGGUAGGAUCUGCGCCUACCAUGGUUGUAACGGGUAACGGGGAAUCAGGGUUCGAUUCCGGAGAGGGAGCCUGAGAAACGGCUACCACAUCCAAGGAAGGCAGCAGGCGCGCAAAUUACCCACUCCCGGCACGGGGAGGUAGUGACGAAAAAUAACGAUACGGGACUCAUCCGAGGCCCCGUAAUCGGAAUGAGUACACUUUAAAUCCUUUAACGAGGACCAAUUGGAGGGCAAGUCUGGUGCCAGCAGCCGCGGUAAUUCCAGCUCCAAUAGCGUAUAUUAAAGUUGUUGCGGUUAAAAAGCUCGUAGUUGAAUUUGUGUUUCGCACUGUCGGUUCACCGCCCGCGGUGUUAACUGGCAUGUUUGCGAAACGUCCUGCCGGUGGAUGUUUAAAUAUGGGGGUUUAAUACUCUUAACAGAGUUUUUAUUCUUUCCAUACAUCCGACUUAUAAAUCCUGUCACGGUGCUCUUAAUUGAGUGUCGAGGCGGGCCGGCACGUUUACUUUGAACAAAUUAAAGUGCUCAAAGCAGGCUAAUUAAUGCCUGAAUAAUUAGUGCAUGGAAUAAUGGAACAGGACCUUGGUUCUAUUUUGUUGGUUUUCGGAACCCCAAGGUAAUGAUUAAUAGGGACAGAUGGGGGCAUUCGUAUUGCGACGUUAGAGGUGAAAUUCUUGGAUCGUCGCAAGACGGACUAAAGCGAAAGCAUUUGCCAAAGAUGUUUUCAUUAAUCAAGAACGAAAGUCAGAGGUUCGAAGGCGAUCAGAUACCGCCCUAGUUCUGACCAUAAACGAUGCCAGCUAGCGAUCCGCCAAAGUUCCUCCGAUGACUUGGCGGGCAGCUUCCGGGAAACCAAAGCUUUUGGGUUCCGGGGGAAGUAUGGUUGCAAAGCUGAAACUUAAAGGAAUUGACGGAAGGGCACCACCAGGAGUGGAGCCUGCGGCUUAAUUUGACUCAACACGGGAAACCUCACCAGGCCCAGACACUGGAAGGAUUGACAGAUUGAGAGCUCUUUCUUGAUUCAGUGGGUGGUGGUGCAUGGCCGUUCUUAGUUGGUGGAGCGAUUUGUCUGGUUAAUUCCGAUAACGAACGAGACUCUAGCCUACUAAAUAGACGUUAAACUUUCCAGUAUCUCGAAGGCUCACAUCUCUUGUUUCCUUACUCUAUAGCACCAAUUCACUUCGGUGUUUUGACUGUUAUGGGUGGGCAGGAGUUUGUGGUUUUUACUACUGGCGUACAUAUAUAUCUUCUUAGAGGGACAGGCGGCUUCUAGCCGCACGAGAUUGAGCAAUAACAGGUCAGUGAUGCCCUUAGAUGUUCUGGGCCGCACGCGCGCUACACUGAAGGAAUCAGCGUGUCUUCCCUGGCCGAAAGGCCCGGGUAACCCGUUGAACCUCCUUCGUGCUAGGGAUUGGGGCUUGCAAUUAUUCCCCAUGAACGAGGAAUUCCCAGUAAGCGCGAGUCAUAAGCUCGCGUUGAUUACGUCCCUGCCCUUUGUACACACCGCCCGUCGCUACUACCGAUUGAAUGAUUUAGUGAGGUCUUCGGACUGGUACGCGGUGAUGUUUCGACAUUACCGAUGUCGCUGGGAAGAUGACCAAACUUGAUUAUUUAGAGGAAGUAA
rnacentral:rRNA from 1 species